UCCUCCUCUUCUGCCUCACUGCCGACGUUGACGGUGGAGGAGGGAAGAAGGACGAACCCCGGGGCAAGAUAUCGAGUGGUCCGGCCGCCAGGUUGCCCCCACAAAGCGACGUGGUGGUACGGGCAACGGCGACCGUCGGCAAAGACGAGAUCUUGUGGAUGCUGGAGGAAGGCUACUUGGAGAGCGAGGCGUUUGUGGACGGGUGGUGCGACAGGAUGAUGGAGACGUACCUGCGUCUGAAGCAGGUGAAGGAGCCCGGGGCCAUGGAGCGUGCCUCAAGGACAAGGAGAAGACAGAGACGUACCGGUUCCACAAGGACAACCCGGAGGUACACACAUUCCUGGAUCAUGCGGCAGAGGGUGGACGCUAUCCUGUGGCUGAUAAAGGAGGAGGAUCGGAAGUGUCUGUCGAGAUGUUGCUCACCGAUUCCCCCUGUGUUCUGGACAUGAAUGUUAUUACCGGAGCCACAAGUUCUUCAUUGUUUUUAGCCGACUUCGAAGGUAUGGAUGGACGACAACAAAGAGUUGGAGAAUUUGUAUGCAAGGAUCUCCAGGAUUAGUAAUGGUCAUUGCGAACUUUAGAAAUCGAAGAACGAAGGGAAUGACUGGCUGACUCAUGGACUUGCUUUUCUGAAAUGAAGAAUCGACA